GGUGGCUCAGUGGUAGAGUGCUUGCCUUGCAUGCAGGAGGCCCUGGGUUCAAUUCCUCAGCACCA
rfam:Dipodomys ordii contig_60263, whole genome shotgun sequence.